GAUGAACGCUGGCGGCGUGCCUAAUACAUGCAAGCCGAGCGAACAGACAAGGAGCUUGCUCCUUUGACGUUAGCGGCGGACGGGUGAGUAACACGUGGGUAACCUACCUAUAAGACUGGGAUAACUUCGGGAAACCGGAGCUAAUACCGGAUAAUAUUUCGAACCGCAUGGUUCGAUAGUGAAAGAUGGUUUUGCUAUCACUUAUAGAUGGACCCGCGCCGUAUUAGCUAGUUGGUAAGGUAACGGCUUACCAAGGCGACGAUACGUAGCCGACCUGAGAGGGUGAUCGGCCACACUGGAACUGAGACACGGUCCAGACUCCUACGGGAGGCAGCAGUAGGGAAUCUUCCGCAAUGGGCGAAAGCCUGACGGAGCAACGCCGCGUGAGUGAUGAAGGUCUUCGGAUCGUAAAACUCUGUUAUUAGGGAAGAACAUACGUGUAAGUAACUAUGCACGUCUUGACGGUACCUAAUCAGAAAGCCACGGCUAACUACGUGCCAGCAGCCGCGGUAAUACGUAGGUGGCAAGCGUUAUCCGGAAUUAUUGGGCGUAAAGCGCGCGUAGGCGGUUUUUUAAGUCUGAUGUGAAAGCCCACGGCUCAACCGUGGAGGGUCAUUGGAAACUGGAAAACUUGAGUGCAGAAGAGGAAAGUGGAAUUCCAUGUGUAGCGGUGAAAUGCGCAGAGAUAUGGAGGAACACCGGUGGCGAAGGCGACUUUCUGGUCUGUAACUGACGCUGAUGUGCGAAAGCGUGGGGAUCAAACAGGAUUAGAUACCCUGGUAGUCCACGCCGUAAACGAUGAGUGCUAAGUGUUAGGGGGUUUCCGCCCCUUAGUGCUGCAGCUAACGCAUUAAGCACUCCGCCUGGGGAGUACGACCGCAAGGUUGAAACUCAAAGGAAUUGACGGGGGCCCGCACAAGCGGUGGAGCAUGUGGUUUAAUUCGAAGCAACGCGAAGAACCUUACCAAAUCUUGACAUCCUUUGACAACUCUAGAGAUAGAGCUUUCCCCUUCGGGGGACAAAGUGACAGGUGGUGCAUGGUUGUCGUCAGCUCGUGUCGUGAGAUGUUGGGUUAAGUCCCGCAACGAGCGCAACCCUUAAGCUUAGUUGCCAUCAUUAAGUUGGGCACUCUAAGUUGACUGCCGGUGACAAACCGGAGGAAGGUGGGGAUGACGUCAAAUCAUCAUGCCCCUUAUGAUUUGGGCUACACACGUGCUACAAUGGACAAUACAAAGGGCAGCGAAACCGCGAGGUCAAGCAAAUCCCAUAAAGUUGUUCUCAGUUCGGAUUGUAGUCUGCAACUCGACUACAUGAAGCUGGAAUCGCUAGUAAUCGUAGAUCAGCAUGCUACGGUGAAUACGUUCCCGGGUCU
rnacentral:rRNA from 1 species